GAUGAAUCUGUAGAUUAGUUUUGGUUCAUGGUCUUGUUUUAUCAUGGCUAUCAUAGUUCAGUUAGCAGGUGCCUGAACUCUGAAGCUUGGGAACUCCCAAUUCUAUACUGGUCGGGAUCUAGAAGGAAAGCCAUCGGGUUAAUUUCUUUCCCAGAUCUUCCUCAGGAAAACUUGAUACUCCUCAGCGACUAAGGAAACAGUAUCAUUGCAGAUUCAAGCUUCUGGUUGGCAUGAUCUAAUUGAGACUGAAAGGAGAUUUGCAUAUGUACUCAAUGCUGAACCAAUCCAGCCAUUAGAGUAGGGUCACUUGUUCUAUGAGGAUUCAAAUCUAAACUCAGAUGAAUAAUCAGCUUACGAACAUCUUCAGAUUGCUUCCAUGGAAAUAAAAGGUAUUUUUUCGUUUAAGCUAUGAGACUAUAGAAUGAAAGGAACAUAUGUGAUCAGCAAUACUGAUGGUUACCUUCCGAAGAUGCAUGAACAAUAAAAUUGGCAGAUGGAGGAGAAUAACGUCUUCUUGACAGUUUAUAAGAUGAAAACAAGAUUACUAUUUUGUGUCGAUACUGGAACAUUCUUCCUAACAUGUGUUUAAUUAUGACCUGCUGCUAUUUGUGACCUGCAACUUUUACAUUU